GACGAACGCUGGCGGCGUGCCUAAUACAUGCAAGUCGAACGCUUCUUUCCUCCCGAGUGCUUGCACUCAAUUGGAAAGAGGAGUGGCGGACGGGUGAGUAACACGUGGGUAACCUACCCAUCAGAGGGGGAUAACACUUGGAAACAGGUGCUAAUACCGCAUAACAGUUUAUGCCGCAUGGCAUAAGAGUGAAAGGCGCUUUCGGGUGUCGCUGAUGGAUGGACCCGCGGUGCAUUAGCUAGUUGGUGAGGUAACGGCUCACCAAGGCCACGAUGCAUAGCCGACCUGAGAGGGUGAUCGGCCACACUGGGACUGAGACACGGCCCAGACUCCUACGGGAGGCAGCAGUAGGGAAUCUUCGGCAAUGGACGAAAGUCUGACCGAGCAACGCCGCGUGAGUGAAGAAGGUUUUCGGAUCGUAAAACUCUGUUGUUAGAGAAGAACAAGGACGUUAGUAACUGAACGUCCCCUGACGGUAUCUAACCAGAAAGCCACGGCUAACUACGUGCCAGCAGCCGCGGUAAUACGUAGGUGGCAAGCGUUGUCCGGAUUUAUUGGGCGUAAAGCGAGCGCAGGCGGUUUCUUAAGUCUGAUGUGAAAGCCCCCGGCUCAACCGGGGAGGGUCAUUGGAAACUGGGAGACUUGAGUGCAGAAGAGGAGAGUGGAAUUCCAUGUGUAGCGGUGAAAUGCGUAGAUAUAUGGAGGAACACCAGUGGCGAAGGCGGCUCUCUGGUCUGUAACUGACGCUGAGGCUCGAAAGCGUGG
rnacentral:rRNA from 1 species